CCAAACCAUUCUUCUCCCUAUAUAUCCCUUCUUCCUCACCUCCAUGUCCCCAGACAGCCCUGGUCUCUUGGCUCUCAUAUCUACUGUAUGGCUUUCUUGCUAGAUCUAGCUUUCCAAACACCACAGCUCACUGCUAAAUGGCAUAUUGAUUGGUCAUGUUCUUCCUCAUGGGCUAGAUCUCAUGACUGAAAUUUUAGACUUUGCAGAACUUAAUAUAGCAAAAGAGAGGGAUUUGUUUGGUGUAUUUCUCUUGAUCUAUUUAUGCAUGCGCUUGGCUCAUUUCUCUGUAGGUUUCAUUUGUUCCCUUCUAUCUGGGAGAUCACUGGGUUAAUUGCAUGCGAUAUGGGCAUGCGUGCAUAGCCUACAGGUGUUUUUGUAUGUAUCUCCAUCUAGCUUUCAUGUCUCUACUGAUUUCAUUACAGGUUCAUGAGAAAUGGAAUGGAUCAACCUCAGGAGAAGAAUAGGUCAGCCUUCCAAUAUACAUAAGCUGGGGGAUGAUGAUGAUGAGGAGGAGGUUCGAUUUAAAAAAUGACGAGGAGGAUGAUGUAUCAAUUUGAGGGAGCUCACUUCAGUCCACUCAUGGGAGGUAGCGGGGAUUGAACAAGCUGCCGACUCAUUCACUCAAACACACAGUGGAUAUGAGAUUUGUUCAGGCAAUAGUAGUAUAUAACAACAUUUACUGUGUGAACGAGCGAAUGCAGCGGGAGAUUGUUCUCUCUUUCCUCCUCCAUGCUUGGACUGAAGGGAGCUCCCUCAGCUCUCAGCAGCUUCAUCAGGUGAUCAGAUCGUCAAGAACAAUCCAGAUUCUGGUUUAAUAGAGUGGGAGCUAGGAACUGACCUCACAAUAUAUGUGUGGGCGUCUGCAAAUUAAUGGCAAAGAAAAGCAAUAAUAGCCGUUUCACAUGCCGGUGAUGGCGGCCUGGAAGAAAGGAAGCCCUUAAAAGAAGAUAUCAGGCCUCCUGUAGUCCUGUUCCUCUCAAGUGCUUAUGAACAGCACUGAUGCUUCCCUCGUGCAAGGUGCAUUGUAUAUGCCAUCCAAGUACAGCAGCAAGCCAGCAAGUGCAUCUGUUGCUCUACUUUUGAUAUGCUACUAUGCUACCCUUCCCCAUAUGUUUCCUCUCCCAUCUCUGUUCCGAUGUUAAAGUACAAUAUGUUCAGGUAUCGCAAUGCGUGUCCCAUGCUUAAUUUAGUGUCAUAUGUUCCGAUGAUGAAGUACAAUCCAGCCAUUUCUUUAUGCCUGAAUACAUGAAA